rnacentral:rRNA from 1 species
GACGGUGAGUAACACGUGGAUAACCUACCUAUAAGACUGGGAUAACUUCGGGAAACCGGAGCUAAUACCGGAUAAUAUAUUGAACCGCAUGGUUCAAUAGUGAAAGACGGUUUUGCUGUCACUUAUAGAUGGAUCCGCGCCGCAUUAGCUAGUUGGUAAGGUAACGGCUUACCAAGGCAACGAUGCGUAGCCGACCUGAGAGGGUGAUCGGCCACACUGGAACUGAGACACGGUCCAG